rnacentral:lncRNA from 1 species
GUGGGGCAGUACAAAUACAGUGGAGUGGGGUAGAAUGGGAGGAAGGGGACCUGUUGAUCUUUAAUCAAUCCUCUUAUUGGACCGUUCAUAUGAGCAGGAUCUGUAUGGACCCCUGUGGAUGUUCAUAGGUUGAGGGGUGAUCACGCUGACAACAACUACGAGUGUGUUCAGGGACCGAUGCACACUUGGAGCCAGCCAAAGAAAAAAUGCCUCUUCAUAAGGAUAUCCUAAGAGAAGUCUGGACUGAUGACAAGUCUCCAGAAAGGAGAGAUGAAUCCACUCCACAUCAGGUAAGUCAUUCACGCUAAGUUUCAAAAUAAAGAAACAACACUGGGUGGCUUUUUGUUCAUUUUAAAGA